AAAGGUCAGGAGCUUCAGUUAAGCUUCACAUCAAACAUCAGACUGGGGGGGGGGUCUGAGUGACUUUGACUGUGGUAUCAUUGUUGGUGCCAGUCAGGCUGGUUUGAGUAUUUCUGAAACUGUUGAUCUCCUGGGAUUUUCAAACACAACAGUCUGUAGGGUUUAUUCAGAAUGGUGCCAAUCUACUGCUCUGUGGAUGGAAAUGCUUUGCUGAUGAGAGAGGUCAGAGGAGAAUGGCCAGAGUGGUUCGAGCUGACAGAAAGGCUUCGGUAACUCGGAUAACCGCUCCUUUAAACUGUGGAGAGCAGAAAAGCAUCUCAAGAUAAACAACAGGCUGAACCUUGAGGCGAAUGGACUACAACAGCAGAAGACCACAUCGGGUUUUGCAAUCCUGUCAGCGAAGAACAUAAAUUUGAGGCUGCAGGGGGCACGGGCUCACCAAAACUGGACAGUUUGUGGACAGAGUGGAAAAGCAUAGCCUGGCCUCAUGAAUCCCACAGAUGGUAUGGUCAGAAUUGGGCGUCAACAGCAUGAAUCCAUGGACCCAACCUGCCUUGUGUCAACAGUCCAGGCUGGUAAUGACAUCCACAGGUGAGGUACUUCAUGGCGGUCAUGCUGAUGUGCAUGAGAGGGCCCAGGUUGAAGAGCAUGUGGUAGAAGGCAUGGACAGACAGGCCUCCGGUUUCAUCAGCAUAUUUCAGUGCUACGAUGGGCGUGUACAUAGCGUUGGUCAGAUUACGGAAACGUGGGCUGCUUGCUUCAAUCACUUUCUUGGUGCACUGCAGAAAGUGGGAGGAUGGAUAGAAAAGACUCAAGAUUUGCAGUCAGACUUAAAGGAUUAAUCACCGGUGCAGACAAACCAAUAAGGCAGAGUGAGGCUGAGUCACAGACUACUUGAGAACUUACUCUGGCGAUGUCAUCAGGUGUUUGUCCCAGUGUUUCAAAGAUGUCGAUAGAAGAAGGAAGGUAGACAUUUUUGAAGUAAUGCACUGUGUCAGGAUCAGCUCCAGGACACUCCCUCUGCUUCACCUCCUGGAUCAUCUUUGCCUCAAAUUCCGUGUGCACUGGACCCGGCUCAAUCAUUGACAGUCUGAGGAAAGAGACACUGGAGCUCAACAACAGAGCAUGGUCAGAUGGAAGAAGAGCCCUAUGGGCAUAUGAAAUCAUUAAUUGAUCGAUUACGUGACAGCGUAUGGCUCCACAACAGUUUAAAUACUUCAUUAAUCCAUUAAAAAUUCUGCAUACUG